rnacentral:tRNA from 1 species
GGGGCCAUAGCUCAACCGGGAGAGCACCUGCCCUGCAAGCAGAUGGUUGCGGGUUCGAAACCCGCUGGCUCCACCA